GAGCAUGUAACUCAGUGGAUAGAGUAUCAGAUUCCGAUUCUGCAAGUCGGAGGUUCAAAUCCUCUCAUGCUCA
rnacentral:tRNA from 1 species